ACUGUUGUGAGUCAGGGUUAAUUUAUAUUGUUAUGUUAACAUUUCUACUGUUAUGCUAGUGAUUGCAUAAAUGACUUUCUACAUAAAAGGAGAAAGUCAACUGGUAAUGGAACCAGUGUCUUGGUUUGCAACUUUCUUUACUUUUGUCACCUGUUUCAUUCUGUGCUCCUGUUACUGCACCUGUGCAAGCUGAUGUAAGAACUCUCCAUGGCCAGUCGAUCCAUGAUUCCGUCUGUAUUCAGAGGCUGGAUGUUGACUUGCGUACCAGAGUACUCAUCUUGAUUCCGGUGUUAUGUAAUGGUGCUCCCCAGAGGCUCCCACAUCCCACCUGGUCACUACUAGCCUAUGGUUGUUCUCUGGAUUAUGCCUUGGACCAUGCAGGGAGUGCUGAGCUGGUGUGAGGAGCCCCUGUGUAAUCCCCAAGACCACUAUGAGUCACAGCUGAAGUUGUUCUCUUAUUUGGUCUCCAGCAGAGAGCACCGAGCUGGCGUGAGAAUCCCCCUGACCUCCUCUUCCUGUGAAGCUCUUAGACUAUGCAGAGACUAUUGUUAAUGGAAGAUUCAUCUGCCUCGUAUUAUCCAGAUCUCAGCUAUACUGACUUAGUUCCAACCAGCCCCUUGGAAGCAAUCAAGUUGGUAAGUCAAGGGUCCACUGUAUUAUAAAAGUGGGUGGAUAAAAAAGAGGACCA
rnacentral:lncRNA from 1 species